rnacentral:rRNA from 1 species
CUACGGGUUGCUGCAGUGAGGAAUUUUGCGCAAUGGGGGAAACCCUGACGCAGCAACGCCGCGUGAGUGAUGAAGGCCUUCGGGUCGUAAAGCUCUGUCAGGUGGGAAGAAACGUCUGAGGGUGAAUAGUCCUCGGGCCUGACGGUACCACCAGAGGAAGCACCGGCCAACUCCGUGCCAGCAGCCGCGGUAAUACGGAGGGUGCAAGCGUUGUUCGGAAUCAUUGGGCGUAAAGGGCGCGUAGGCGGCCCUGCCAGUCGGGUGUGAAAGCCCUGGGCUCAACCCAGGAAGUGCAUCCGAAACUGUAGGGCUUGAGUACGGGAGAGGGAAGUGGAAUUCCUGGUGUAGGGGUGAAAUCCGUAGAUAUCAGGAGGAACACCGGUGGCGAAGGCGACUUCCUGGACCGAUACUGACGCUGAGGCGCGAAAGCGUGGGGAGCAAACAGGAUUAGAUACCCCGGUAGUC